UACAGAGGGGGCAAGCGUUGUUCGGAAUUACUGGGCGUAAAGGGCGCGUAGGCGGCCUUCUAAGUCGAACGUGAAAUCCCUGGGCUCAACCCAGGAACUGCGUCCGAUACUGAAAGGCUUGAAUCCGGGAGAGGGAUGCGGAAUUCCAGGUGUAGCGGUGAAAUGCACAGAUAUCUGGAGGAACACCAGCAGCGAAGGCGGCGAUCUGGGCCAGUACUGACGCUGAGAAGCGAAAGCGUGGGGAGCGAACAGG
rnacentral:rRNA from 1 species